GCGGUGAGGAGGAGGCGCCCUCGCGUGUGGAGAGCCGACUCCGCCUGGACUCCACCGCCCACGGCCGCAUCCCAUCGCCGCACAAGAUCGCCGGAGUCAUAUUAUCGACGUAAUUAAAGCCCACUAGCCUAAAGCCGGGUGGACUGCGGUGUGGUCCCUGAUCCCUAUGGUGGCGGUGGCAACUCACACUUGUUUCAGUUCUGAAACUGCUCUUGCUGCUACUGGAGCCCCCACCCCUGCUCCAUUUUGAAGUAGCUGAUCCAGAUCAGCUUAGAUUGUGCUAAGUUUCAAGAAAAAGAUGAAAUAUGAGUUGCAUUUUGGCAAAUGAAGAGGAUGUGAAGGGCAGAAGGAGCAGAAACUACCAGCAGAGAUGCUAAGAUGAAAG
rnacentral:antisense_RNA from 1 species